UACGUAGGGUGCGAGCGUUAAUCGGAAUUAGUGGGCGUAAAGCGGGCGCAGGCGGUUUUGGAAGACAGAUGUGAAAUUCCCGGGGUUAACCUGGGAAAUGCAUUUGUGACUGCAAGACUAGAGUGCGGCAGAGGGGGGUAGAAUUCCACGUGUAGCAGUGAAAUGCGUAGAUAUGUGGAGGAAUACCGAUGGCGAAGGCAGCCCCCUGGGUCGACACUGACGCUCAUGCACGAAAGCGUGGGGAGCAAACAGG
rnacentral:rRNA from 1 species